GCCAGGUGUGGUAGUGCAUGCCUGUAGUCCCAGCUACUGGGGAGGCUGAGACAAGAGGAUUGCUUGAGCCCAGGAGUUAGAGGCUGCAGUGAGCUGUGAUUGCACCAUUGCACCCCAGCCUGGGCAACAAAGUGAGACCCUGUCUCUU
rnacentral:sRNA from 1 species